rnacentral:lncRNA from 1 species
AAAAUGGCUCUGUCUAUCAAGUGAAUAACAAAGUGUAGACUGCCUGUCUGUUUCCUAUACAAAACUUAGAUUUCAUUUGCCAUUAUUGUCGGCCUUUCUGCUGAUUUAAUAACUUCUAAGGAGAAGAACUAGGGGUUCUGAUGCAGCCUCACUAUUUAAGAAACUACUUGGAAAGGGAAUUCUCAAGGGCUGAAAGAGCCUUCAGAUGGUCAGAUAAAGUACCUGAUGCUGAAAAACAGGAAAUUGAAUCAUGUCUCCAAAAUGUGCCUUUUGUCAUGCACUGUUACAGCUAUAUUUCUUGAAUAAACACCUUCUUAUAGGAUGUGAAUCCUGCCAGAUUGUGGCAUGGCACUCAACUCCUCAAAGAAGCCAUUGAGUUCCAGUCAGGCACUGCGAGAAUUGCAGAAGAAAUCUCAAACUUGGCCCCUGCCUCCAAGAAGCUGACAAUGGCUCUUUAGGCCUUAAUGAUUGACAUGAUCUUGGAAAACAGGUAUGUAGCAAAACUCUCCUAGAAACCUGAAAGAUGUGGCAAGAAGAAAACAUGGAGCCUUUUCUGAACAAGCCUAUGAGAGAAGAAGAAUCACUUCAAUUUAUUAAGUGUGGAUUCUGGGGCUAAAGAACUUACCUACAACCACACAGCCAGCAAAUUACUGACCCAGCAUAUUCUGAACCCAGGUCUUUAUUCUUUCCAAAACUUCACAGCACCUUCCUCAGAGCAUCUCUACAUGAAAAUCUGUAUAAAGAAGUGAUCUGUGGUGUCGCCAUUUGUAUCAAAAUGGUAUCACAAACUUAUUUAAAAGGCUUCAUCUAAAAGUCUUCAGAGUUUUGGCCAGGGAAGAGCUCUAAUAUCACACAUUAAUAACCUUACC